rnacentral:rRNA from 1 species
GAUGAACGCUAGCGAUAGGCUUAACACAUGCAAGUCGAGGGGCAGCACAAGGUAGCUUGCUAUCUGGGUGGCGACCGGCGCACGGGUGCGUAACGCGUAUGCAACUUGCCCUAUACAGGAGGAUAACCCGUCGAAAGACGGACUAAUACUGCGUAUGCUCACAACUUGGCAUCAAGUGGUGAGGAAAGAAAUUCGGUAUAGGAUAGGCAUGCGUCCCAUUAGCUUGUUGGUGAGGUAACGGCUCACCAAGGCAACGAUGGGUAGGGGAACUGAGAGGUUUAUCCCCCACACUGGUACUGAGACAAGGACCAGACUCCUACGGGAGGCAGCAGUGAGGAAUAUUGGUCAAUGGGCGCGAGCCUGAACCAGCCAAGUCGCGUGAAGGAUGACUGUCUUAUGGAUUGUAAACUUCUUUUAUACGGGAAUAACAAGAGUCACGUGUGACUCCCUGCAUGUACCGUAUGAAUAAGCAUCGGCUAACUCCGUG